CCCGAGCACUGCACCUUUGUCCCGAGCGAAGCGGCCGCAGUUCCUCUAUCCUCUCCUUCUCACGAACGGAUCCGCCGCCGCCGCCGUCGCCCCACCCUCGCUCGCCGCUGCGGAUCCACCGCCGUCCCUGUUCCAGCCCGUCGCCCCCCCCCUCCGCACGCCGCUGCCCCCGUCUUCUCGACGGUCCCGCCCAAGCUAACGAUGCUGACACGCCACUGCUCCAGCACGACCUGACUUGGCAGGGGCGACGCGGCGGUGGUGGUGGUGAGGAAGCGGAGGAAGAUGUCGUCGUCGGUGUGGUGCCUUCCAGCACGGCCUGACCUGGAAGGGGGGACGCGACGGUGGUGGUGGUGGGGAGGCGGAGGAAGCCGUCGUCGUCGGUGUGGUGCCUGAUGGGGGAGGGGAGUGUCGCAUAGCCAGCCUCGCGCCGGCGGUCUGGGCGCUCCUCGCGCCGGUACCUGCUCUGGGAAGAGCAGGAGGGGUGCUGGAGCAGUGGUCGUCGCGUCCUCGGGUUCCCGCAGCCCUCCCCUCGCACAUGGUCGUCUUCAGCUCCCAGCCCGCCAGCGCUGUUCUCUGGUAGUCAACAUCGUUGACAGAAUAGGAGUACAUGCGGAGGUCGGGGAGGGGCAUGGUCUUGCAGGCCGGGUCUUAGUUGGCGUGCGCGUGCUCUCCUACCACCGCUGCCAGGCCACUGUAGGGGCUUUGCUUCGAGGGUGGGGGACACGGCUACAUCAUGUAGGUGGGGGAGAAGACGACCAUGAGCACCGGCGUCCUCUGCGUGGUGGUAGUCAUGAGCCGUGCAAUGUCGAGACUGGGUGGAGCACGGGUGACCAUUGUGGCUGGGAGCUGAGCUUCUCAUCCUCGAUCUGGAGAAAAUUAUAGUGAUUCAUGACAAAACAUAGCAGCGUAGGAGCCAGCAAUGGAGCAAGCGAGGCAGAGGCUACAACAGAGCUCCUAGCCGAAGCUCAUCCAGGAGCUUCGGCUAGCUGCUCGAACAAAUCGAAUGAGGGUGCACCGGCCUCCAGCAUGAAGCCUGCGAUUAGAGGCAGUCCUUUGCACUCCACCUCAUGCCCGUGCAUUGUUGGUACGCGUAUUUGAGGUCGAGUGUGUGCGCGCCUCUGCAACCCCAUAACUAGAGACCGAAAUCAAGGGUUUUGAUUGAGAGCAAGCUGGACAAGGAGGCAGGAAGCAUAGGAGUUGGGGAAGAGAGAUCCAUGUGUUGGCGAGUGCUAGCUGGGUGUGUGCCUCCUGUUUGAGAGGGAGGGAGGACCUUUGCUGGGCAGUCAAAGGAUGUGCUCGGUUAUGGUGGCCCAACUGCAAGGAACCAAUCACCCAAAUGCCUUUCCUAGACUGAUGCAAAUGGAGCUUGCAAUCAGAUCCAAAAGACUAAUGAAGCUGGAGCUGUCAAACUGACCAAAGCAGGAAAACGUCGGUCUCAUCCCUGGCCUUCUUCAGUUGAGAAGAUUACUCUGCUUUUUAUCACUGUUGGAGGAUUCCUUAUUUUCAGAAGUCAGUAUCACAGCAACAGGCAAGCAGCUUGGCCAACUCAUUAUUUCUACCGUCACCAAUCGUUUUUAUUGUUGCUGGCCAAUGUAGAUUGUCGUGAUUGUAUGAAAGAUUAAUACCUUUCUCACGUGCAUGCUAGCUAGAAGUCGAUGUAUGAUUCUUGGUGUAUUCUUGUGUGUGUCCAUCGAAACAAGAGGGAGGGUCGGGCUCCAGUCAUCCAGAUCCUAUUAAUGGAGUUCAGCCACUUUGAAAAAGGUGAUGCUUCACAUUCAAUGGACUUGGCUCUAGCUCUUAAAAGUUGGUGAGCGAGAAGUUCACAACCUGAACACCAACCAAUACAUGCAAUGCUACAUCACACCAUAUUUUAAAAGUUCAUUGGAAAUUUCAAAGGUAGCAACGAGGUGCAACGGUCCUCCGCUGAGCGACUUUGUUGAGAGUCAAUUUCUUUAGGAGCAGGCCUAAAGGUGAGGACAGGAAUGCUCCAAGGGAAGAUGCAUGUAAGGUCACAAAUCAUAACUCUCAGGUAGCGGAUCAGCCAACCACUGGAUGUGUUCCAUGAUUUAUUUAUUUCAGUGGUUUACAAAGUGGUAUGUACGGUGCACACGCCCUCCAAAGUUAUAAUUUCUCUUUAGUUAUCUCCUUACGAUUUCUUUGAUGCUUGUGAAAAUGCGAAGGCUUGAUGUGAACUAUGGUGCCGACAGGAUAUGAAUGGCCGGACAAUGCGGCAUUUUUCUUUUGCACCAAAGAAUCUCAGACCAUCAUGCUGUUCUUUUCAGUUUGAAUCUUCUUAGAAGUUGGAAUGUAAGUAGGAAGAUAACAUACACAGUUCAAUUUUGUAUGUCCAAUUAAUAAUGGUUUUGUGGUUGACAUUUGGGGAUGAUGAUAUAAACAACUAAAGCAAUGGUAAGAAAAUGUAUGUUCCAUUUUCAUCUUAUUAGUGGGCUAAAUCCAUGGAGCUUUGGUACGUUAUUAUUGAUUGAUAGUCAUCUAUAUAUGGAUUUUUUUAGCCUUUUGUUUCUCCUCAUGCUGCUACUGUAUCAAUUCAAUUUGAGAAGCACAUUCUUCAUGCGCCUAUAUGUGGUAUACUAAUAUGCACUGCUGUAAGUCGGUUGCUAUUGUUAAAUGGAUCAAUAAUGAAAUACUCAUUACUGCUACCAGAGUAUAUUCCAUCACAAUGCCCGGGCACCAAUAGUCAAGAGGAGGAUGUUGUAGAUGAAAGUGAUAGGAGGUAACUAUGAGCAUGAUCUAACAAUGGGCCAAUGCCAUCCUUGCAGUUGCGUACCGCACGCACCCACACGCCGCACUGCACGCCCACGUGUCAGAGAAACAAUCACAGAUAAACAGCGAACAUCAGUUGACAUUAUUUUCUUUAUGAACCCCACGGGUGUUGACUACAAAGGGAUUUUAUAUUCACACAAAUAUUUUCAAGCGAACUGCCCCUGAAAAAGAAGUGUACCCCUCGUGGAAUACCUUUU